GUGCUCACUUCUGCAGCAAAUAUACUAAAACUGGAAUGAUAAAGAUUAGAUUAGCAUAGCCCCUGCCUAAGAAUGACACUUCAAUUCCUGGAUCAUUCCAUAUUAAA